rnacentral:tRNA from 1 species
AGAAGCUUAAGUUAUUUUUAAACCGGGGCCUUCAAAGCCUCAAAUAGAUGGCACCCAAACCCUCUAGCUUCUG